rnacentral:rRNA from 1 species
GAUGAACGCUGGCGGCGUGCCUAAUACAUGCAAGUCGAGCGAACAGAUGAGGAGCUUGCUCCUCUGACGUUAGCGGCGGACGGGUGAGUAACACGUGGAUAACCUACCUAUAAGACUGGGAUAACUUCGGGAAACCGGAGCUAAUACCGGAUAAUAUAUUGAACCGCAUGGUUCAAUAGUGAAAGACGGUUUUGCUGUCACUUAUAGAUGGAUCCGCGCCGCAUUAGCUAGUUGGUAAGGUAACGGCUUACCAAGGCAACGAUGCGUAGCCGACCUGAGAGGGUGAUCGGCCACACUGGAACUGAGACACGGUCCAGACUCCUACGGGAGGCAGCAAUAGGGAAUCUUCCGCAAUGGGCGAAAGCCCGACGGAGCAACGCCGCGUGAGUGAUGAAGGUCUUCGGAUCGUAAAACUCUGUUAUUAGGGAAGAACAAAUGUGUAAGUAACUAUGCACGUCUUGACGGUACCUGAUCAGAAAGCCACGGCUAACUACGUG